rnacentral:lncRNA from 1 species
UAAUAUUAGCAAAAUAUUUUAUUUCCUUUUAUUUCCAUUCAUCUUAUCAUUUAUUUAUACAUACAUGAUUUUGUUAAAUGGAUUUUCCAUUAGCAUAAUAUUUUGUUUCCUUUUAUUUCCAUUCAUCUUAUUAUUUAUAUAUACAUACAUGAUUUUGUUAAAUGGAUUUUCCUAAUACCUGAGAAUAUUUAUAUACUAUCUUAAGAAUUACGGUUAGUCAAGUGACUAGCAUUGACUAACCUUAACUCUAUUGACUAUCUCUAUAAGAUAAGAACCUUGGAAAAAGAAAAAACAAAACGAACAGCAGAAAAGAACAUAGGAUCGCAAGAAUCUGAAGAAUCUAAUAGAAUUAAUAGAAUUCAAAAUUUUGUUUAAUUUUCUUCUGAUUCCUCCUAGCCAGAUACGAAAGUUUUUUAGCAUAAUAUUUUAUUUCCUUUUAUUACAAUGGAUCUUAUCAUUUAUAUAUACAUGAUUUUUUUAAAUGCAUUUUGCUAAUAUUAGCAAAAUAUUUUAUUUCCUUUUAUUUCCAUUCAUCUUAUCAUUUAUAUAUACAUACAUGAUUUUGUUAAAUUGAUUUUCCAUUAGCAUAAUAUUUUGUUUCCUUUUAUUUCCAUUCAUCUUAUUAUUUAUAUAUACAUACAUGAUUUUGUUAAAUGGAUUUUCCUAAUACCUGAGUAUAUUUAUAUACUAUCUUAAGAAUUAUGGUUAGUCAAGUGACUAGCAUUGACUAACCUUAACUCUAUUGACUAUCUCUAUAAGAUAAGAACCUUGGAAAAAGAAAAAACAAAACGAACAGCAGAAAAGAAGAUAAGAUAAGAAUAAAUUCACAAAAAUUUUCUUCUGAUUCCUCCUAGCCAGAUACGAAAGUUUUUUAGCAUAAUAUUUUAUUUCCUUUUAUUUCAAUGGAUCUUAUCAUUUAUAUAUACAUGAUUUUUUUAAAUGCAUUUUGCUAAUAUUAGCAGAAUAUUUUAUUUCCUUUUAUUUCCAUUCAUCUUAUCAUUUAUAUAUACAUACAUGAUUUUGUUAAAUGGAUUUUCCAUUAGCAUAAUAUUUUGUUUCCUUUUAUUUCCAUUCAUCUUAUUAUUUAUAUGUACAUACAUGAUUUUGUUAAAUGGAUUUUCCUAAUACCUGAGUAUAUUUAUAUACUAUCUUAAGAAUUACGGUUAGUCAAGUGACUAGCAUUGACUAACCUUAACUCUAUUGACUAUCUCUAUAAGAUGAGAACCUUGGAAAAAGAAAAAACAAAACGAACAGCAGAAAAGAAGAUAAGAUAAGAAUAAAUUCACAAAAUACCGUGUCCUUAUUUUGACACAAAGUAGCUGACAAUCAGAACAAAGAAAAUAGCCAAAUAGCAAACCAAAAUAUAGUGCAAAAAUAAGGUAUAAUUCCAAAAAAAGGACAAAAAGAAAAUGACAAAGCACGAACAAGCCAUAUUUAGAUUUUACGAGAAUACUAUAGACGAAUGCCUUAAUGAAGAACCAACCAAAGAAGAUAGAAUUGCCAGAAGUGAAAAGAACGCAUAAAAUGGAGAAGUAUUUUCAUUAUUUUUCUGAUUCCUCUUAGAACCUUCUGAAUUUUUUUGAUUUGAACUCCUAGAAAAUUCUCAAUUUUUUUGAUUUGAGCUGCUAGAAAAUUAUGAAUGUUUUUGCUUUGAGCUCAUAGAAAAUUAUGAAUUGAAAUGAAAAUUGAAAUCAAAAGGGAAAUCAAAAUCGAAAUGAAAAAGAUUCUAAUUGUUCCUAUUAAUCUUAACCAGUCAGAAAGAAGGAGAAAAAAAUAAUGCAAAAUUAAAUAAGGUAUAAUUCC